AGCCUGUCAGCUCAAUCGGUUAGAGCGCGGUGCUAAUAACGCCAAGUGCACGGAUCGACCCCUGUACUGGUCU